rnacentral:tRNA from 1 species
AGCCGGAAUAGCUCAGUUGGUAGAGCAGAGGACUGAAAAYC